rnacentral:rRNA from 1 species
AGGGGACGUGGAUAACCUCGGGAAAUUGAGGAUAAACCGCGAUAGGUCACUACUUCUGGAAUGGGUAAUGACCCAAACCUACAUGGCCCCUGGAUUGGACUGCGGCCGAUCAGGCUGUUGGUGAGGUAAUGGCCCACCAAACCUGUAACCGGUACGGGCUCUGAGAGGAGGAGCCCGGAGAUGGGCACUGAGACAAGGGCCCAGGCCCUAUGGGGCGCAGCAGGCGCGAAACCUCUGCAAUAGGCGAAAGCUUGACAGGGUUACUCUGAGUGAUUUCCGUUAAGGAGAUCUUUUGGCACCUCUAAAAGUGGUGCAGAAUAAGGGGUGGGCAAGUCUGGUGUCAGCCGCCGCGGUAAUACCAGCACCCCGAGUGGUCGGGACGUUUAUUGGGCCUAAAGCAUCCGUAGCCGGUUCUACAAGUCUUCCGUUAAAUCCACCUGCUUAACAGAUGGGCUGCGGAAGAUACUAUGGAGCUAGGAGGCGGGAGAGGCAAGCGGUACUCGAUGGGUAGGGGUAAAAUCCGUUGAUCCAUUGAAGACCACCAGUGGCGAAGGCGGCUUGCCAGAACGCGCUCGACGGUGAGGGAUGAAAGCUGGGGGAGCAAACCGGAUUAGAUACCCGGGUAGUCCCAGCUGUAAACGAUGCAGACUCGGUGAUGAGUUGGCUUCAUGCCAACUCAGUGCCGCA